CAGGGCCAAUCUUCCUCAUAAAAAUAAAAAACAAAUUAAUAAUAAAUAAAAAUAAAACAGGCUUGCAUGUAACUCCAGUUUAAGAUAUGAUCACCUUAUUAUAAAUCAAAAGUCCUUAACAUGUCCUUAACAUGUCUUUGUGCUCUGUCAUGGUCUCCUUAUCCAGGCUCAUCUCUCCCUACAUGCCAUGAACUUCAUGCUCCAGCUACACCAGACUGGUAGAGCUGCUGGCAAACAGCCUGUUCUUUCUUCCUUCAAUGCAUUUGUGUGAAAUGGACAUUCCUUCUGCAAUACCUCCCACACUCCCUUACCCCAAUGUAUCAGGCUAAUUUCUACUUAUCCUUUAAAAUUUGUUGAAGAAUCAGACACUAUUACAAUCCUAUCUUGAUCCUUCACCUGUUAUCUUUCUUGGGACUCCAAUAACACCUAGGAGAAUGUAAGUUCCCACCACUGGACUCUAAGCUGUAUAAAGACAGAUGCUUCAUCUUGUUCAUUAUCGUACCCUCCAGACUAUUUCAAAGUUCUGUGACACUCAUGGCAUUCUCUAUCUGAAGGAAAAAAUCAGGAGACUUCAGGACCCAUAAGUUUGUGUGUACUGGUAUCACGAGGCCAUUGCAUAAUCUGUUUCCCAAGGCUGGGGCAUGCUCCCCCAUCAUUAUCUUCACAUCUAGGUUUAAAUAGUAUUUCCUCAAAGAACACUUACGUAGACUAGGAUUGAAGUGUAAGAAAUAAUAUGCGGUGGUGUGUCAAAGUCCAUGGACAACAGUGGUGGUAUUAACAGAAGUUUGGAAGUUGAGAUUUUCUUUGUGGGCAAAGUGAUGUUACACUGAAUUGACAUAAUGGCAGAACACCUAAGUAGAAGUUUCCAACUUAGAGAUGGAAAUACUACACUGAAGUGUAUAAAAAUAUCCUAGAAAAAGUACAUUUUAUUUCAUAAGUACGAAAGGCUGUUGUAUAAGGUGAAUAAAGCACUAAACUAGAAAGGAUAAUUUCAAGAAAGGACUAACAACAUAAUGACAAUUUUUUUUAAAAGAGGUCCAUUUAAAAAGUCAUUGAUUUUGACAAUUAGGCAAUCACUGGUGAGAGAUGGUUUUAAAAUACUAGGAAAACAGAGUUCAUCUCUGGUAAAAUGAAACCGUAAAUUCUACACCCUUUUCCCACCCCUUUGCAAACACACACACACACACACACACACACACACAAUUCGGGCACAAACACACCACACAUCCAGGAACAUAUCCACACAAAUAUUUUAUUCCCUUCCAUAAGAAAGACUAGAAACAACAUAGGAUCUCCACAUUAGGAACUGCAAGAGAAAAAUAUCAACUGCAGGCCUACUCUAGGAAAGAUACACCAGUGAGAGAAAAAAAUGCUGAAUUUUAAAAAUGUCUAAAGUUUUUGAGGAAAAAAUAAUAGACUAGCUACUGCUUUUAUAACAUAAUGGACUUCUUUAUUAAUUUCAUAAUGGCAAUAAUCCCGGUCAAAUACAAGUGCCAUUCCAUUUUUCCAUGUGACCAGAUGCUAUUUUGGCAAUUAGGCAGUCACUGCCAUUUUGAUUGCAUUUAAAGUGAUCAAGUAUGCAAUUGCCCACUGUUGUCCUUUUCUUCCAGUACAAAGAUCUGAAUCUUAUUUUUGAUCUAAAAAUAUUCCAUUUACAUCUCUUUGUUGAUAGAUUUUCCUGUUGCUUUAUUUCAAGGUCCUGUAGAAAUCAUUAGUGACAUUAUGCCAAGGGCUGAACCUCAUAAGCAACCUGAACAGUUUGAUUCACUGAGAAAGCAACCCGCAAUUCACUAAAAGAAAAUAUAAUAAUGAUCCUGUCCAAUUAAAACUGUUAAAUUAAAUGGAGAGAAUCUAACGAUUUCCCCUUAUCAUUCUGAUAUUCUGGAAGCAUGGCAGGGGAACUACAAAUACCAAGACACGUGUUAAAGAUGCCCACACUUCUUCAGUUUAAGGAAAGCAAGCACAUUCUUUUAAAAGGGAACUGUACUAUUACAUAUAGGACAUUUUAAUGGAUGCAUCUAAGUUUAAAAAAAAGGGCAAAUAACCUCCUCUAAAUUAAAACAUGUUUAAAUAAAUUCUUAAGCCAAUUAAACAAAUAGGAAGCUACUCCAUUAACAUGCUGAGGAAGCACAGGAGAAAACAGGAAAUGCUGCCUGAGCAUACGACUGGUCAUGAAAAUUGCAAAUGAGACAUUACUUAUGUUCUAUUACUUCAAAACCAAUAAAUUCAUCUCAUUUCUAUUUUCCUACAAUUCCUGUCAAACACUAUAAUCACACUUUUCUGUCACACAUAUGCAGUUCUGUCUGCAUACCUACAUUUAAGUAAUUAUAAAAGCAGAUGCAGAAUUCAAGGAAUUGUCCUUGAUCUCUGAAUGUAACAUACCCAUGUAAGUGCAAAACUCUGUACCAAGGAGAACUAGACUGGUUAAUUUCAUGACCUGACCUCAGAGAGCUUUCAGAGAUAUGUUCAACAGGAUUACAACUGACUAUAUAUAUGCUAAGUCUGGCAUGCACGCAUGCAUGCAUGAAUGAAGUUCAACAAGUUAGAAGACUAUAAAUUUUAUUCAAUGGGUAGUUUUUGCAUCCAAAGUGCACACUAUUUAAACAAGCAUACUGUAAAUAAAACCAGGCUGGUAAUAAGCUAGUUAUAACUGGUUAAUAAAAAUCUAAAGCAGUAGGCUUCAAACUUUUUAAACUUGCAACACUAUCUCAAAAACCAAACAAACAAAACUUAGGGAGAAUAGAAAUAUUAAACUGAAGAAGAGCAAUAAGUUUAUAUGGCAGGAGCUGGAGUAGAGUUUAGCUCGAAGAGUAUUCUGCUAAACCUCUCUCUUCAAAGCAUAGUUAGAAAAGCAUCACACCAAACUAAUUCUAAAUGUCUGCAGAAGUACAUGGAGAUAUAUUAUGGGAGAUAAGUAUUGGAAUCCUAAAAGAUUUAAACUAGAUACUUAUAAAUAUUUUAUAAUGUAUACUGCAAAUGUCUUAUUUUAUCAUGUUUGUCCUUUUUUCCCUAUAACCUUUUUUCCACUUUCUCAAUAUUCUCUAUGACUGUAAUUGUCAUCCUAUUUCCCACCAUUCACAUGCAUUCCUCAGAAACAUUCGUUUAAUAUCCCCUUUAUUUACCUUGCCACCACUUCUGGGGCAGAAAAGACAUACCUAUGUUAUUAAGCAUUUUACGCUUCCUUGAAAUAUACAUAGUUGUCCUGUUAGCAUAGAGGUCCCAAUAUAGAUUGUCUGGAAGGAUAUAACAUGUUCACAUCUCCUUUUAGGCCAACCUUGAAAAUGAAGCUAACAUAAUAUACUCUGAAAGAAAACUGUUAAUAGUCUAGAUGUGUAAAGUCCAGCAUUACAAUGGGCAUCUCCCUAACUGUUGGCCAUAUACUUUAUUAGUGAGAUGUACGUAUGCAUAUACAUAUGUAAAAUAUAUACAUAUACAAUAUAUAUGAAAAACACUAGGUAACCCAGGACAACGAUUCACCUCAGUGUUUUUCAAACACUUCAAGCACCUCACAUAGAGCAAAAAAGGCCUUAUUUGAUUAUUUUCAAUAUAAACGCAUGCUCAUUCAUAUAAAUACACAUAUAUGGGCAUCUAUAUGUCUAUAAAAUUAAAAGCACAUUUACACGCUUCCACUAAGUUUUGGCCCACCUCGAGAAAUGAACCUUUGACAGUGACCCAUAAUAUCAGAAAGCUGGCAAGGUGCGCUUGCAAAGACCUACACUUGCAAUACAAGCCACUGGUGGCGCACACCUCCCCAAAGGCGAUGGCCAGGACCAGGCCAAGGGCGGCUCGAGAGCGGUUCCCGGCAGCCCCAGCGCGGGCAAGGCACGAAGGGAACGUGCCUGACGUGCGCAUCGACGUCCGCGACGUGCCCUGCGCACGACACUAUCUACCGCAGGGCAGAGGUGUCACCAAGAAGGCGCUGUUGGCUGACUGCCGUUGUCGUGGAGGCUUUGCAACCUGUCCACGUCCAGUGUCGAGAACAGGGGCUUGGUGGCAUGCACGGCGGCCUGAACCGUGAGAGUGGGCAGGCCCAAUCACCCUCUGGUGCCCUGCGCCGCCCUGUUGGAGGGUACAAAAUAUAAAAAAGAAAGAAAGGAAAGACAAAAAAGAAACACAUCUGAAAGCUUCCAAAUGGAAGGGAUCUGGGCAAAGUUGGAGAGGAUGGGCCUUUGGACUCAAAGAACAACAUUGGGAGUAUCCUGGAAGUAUCAGUGCACAGAAGAGCAGGUUUGGGAAGGACCAGCUCUCUGGAGAUAAUGACACAUUUUAUCCUGAUCUUCUUUAGUUGUUGAUACCUUAAAAGUUACUCCGUUGAAGUUGCUUUCAAAUUAAACACCAUUGCUACAGUGUUUCUGUUGUGAUUGUCGGAGGGAAGUGGAGCCAGUGCAAUUUGUCCAUGUUUUACAAAUCACCAUCUGGCAGGGAGAUGGCAACAUGUGAAAUCUUCACAGGACUCUUGUUUUUCUACUAUCUGCUGGAUAACUAAGGAGAUCACCAGACUGCUGGGAUGCCUGCCAGAUGGUAAGCAGGUAUGUUUAUGAGUUUAAGAUUCUUAUUUUCUUUCAAUGCUUUCACAUGCUGUGGGCGCAGAGGCAGAAAAGUGAAAGGGAAAAAGAACGAGGGAGCGGAUAAGUGACUGUGUAUGAUCAUUACAAAUGUCUUUGAAGUUUCUUGAAACGUGAAUUUUCUAAAGCCUACACUGAAUUAUUUUCUACCAAGUAGAAAAAUCACCAGUCAUAUGGUCAUACGAUUUUUAAAAAUGCUAUGUUUUUCAUUUUUGCACAAAUAACCAGGUGUAUAGUUUCUUCAGUCCUCUUGAGUAGCCACGUAUCACUCAGGGCAUCAUAAGCCUCAUUAACAAACAUUCGGUGAGCGUAUACCCUAUGCAUGGUACGAGGCUAGCCAUUUCAGAGAAAUAAAAGUGAAGGUGUGUUUUAUUUUAUUUCGACUAUUCAAAUAGACUAUGAUGGGCAAAGAAUACCUACCUAGUAGAGUCAUAAAAAACCCUCUAACAAUUGAAGAUUCACAAUGCUGAAUCUGGAGAGUAAGUGGUAAUCAUUAGAGUGGCUUCUGUGAAAAGAAAAGGGCACCCGAAACAGUUUGGACCGAUAAUAAGUGAAGAUCACAAAAGAGGUAGUGUCUCUUAUAUAGAGAGGUCCAGUUCCUUAAAGCUAGGUUUGAAGGACUGCUCAGCAAUAUAUCAGCAACGUGACCCAAGGCAAGUUUCUGAAAGUCUCCAAGCUUCAGUCAGCUCAUCUAUAAAAAUGGUGAUGGGACCGGGCCAGUGGCUGUGUGGUUAAGUUCACACGCUCUGCUUCACUGG